rnacentral:rRNA from 1 species
AUGGAGGCGGUGAAGAAGAAGCAGCUGCAGGCGCAGCUGGAGGCGGCGGACAUACUGUUCGCGGCCGGCGACCUGAGGAGGGCCAAGAUGCACGUCGACAUGGCCGUGGCCAUGGACCGCUCCGGGGCCUGCCCUGAGGCCCAGCGCGCGCGCGCCGCCUACAGGGUCCUCGCCGCCGCCAACAGCAACAAGGCCGACCACUACGGCGUCCUUGGCGUCGCGGCGCCGCCUGGCGGCAGGCCCACCAAGGAGUCCCACGACGCCGUCAAGGCCCAGCACAAGGCGCUCUGCGACGCGUUCGAGGCCGACAAGUCGAGCGCGGCCGUCGCCGGCGCGCUCAAGCUCGUCAAGCAGGCGUUCGCGGCGCUCACGGACAUCAGGAAGAACGAGGGCGCGGUGCCCGGGGCGGCGCGCGCGGCCGCGCCAGCUCGCCACCGCCUGCCGCCGCUGCUCCCGGUGCCGCGUCCCAAGGCCAGGCCGGCCGCCGCGCCCGUGCGGGUGGUCCUGGUGGGCGAGCAGCAGGUCGCGGCCGAUUAUCCUGCUGCUGCUGCCUUCGUGGACGAGCCGGUGGCGCCGGAGCAGAAGGUGCACGGCGUGGUGGCAAACGAGGAGGAGGAGGAGGAGGACUACUACGCCGGCGGUGGCGGCCGCGGUGGACGUCGUUAA